GUUAAGACUGCUUUCCUAAAUGGAGAGCUGGACGAGGAAAUUUAUAUGAAACAACUAGAUGGGUUUGUACUAGAUGGUCAGGAAGGAAAAGUGUGCAAGUUACUGAAGUCUUGUAUGGACUCAAGCGAGCACCCAAACAGUGGCAUGAAAAGUUUGAAAGAACUUUAACAGCUGCAGGCUUUGUUGUAAACGAAGCUGACAAAUGUGUGGCAUGUUUUUAGAGGCCUAUACAAAUUAUAAAAAUCGCAUGCUUCUCCAAGGGAAUCAAAACACAUCCCAAUCUUUGGCUUCACUACAUUGUCCGACGGUUUACCAGCAUAUCUCCAUAUGAUUUCUUCUAACGGAGUAACUUUACCAGCACAGGGUGUUCUAUCUGGAGGGUACAUCAAAUGGCAUGAUUUGCUGACAAGCACUUUUUAGGCUAAUCCCAAAUAUGGUUAACGACGAGAACUAGGGGACAUUUUCAGCUGACACUGGUAUGAAUGCCCUUCAAACCUAUUUCGUCGUGUACAUUGUUUUUUUCUUACUAAUUUGCACAAAAUAAAAAAUACUGAUUCAAUUUAUACCUUCUUGUCCAUCCCGGCGCCUCCGGGUUCACCUUCCCGGUGGAUUCGACGGACUGCGUCGGCGACUGCUUCCUUUUGUCGGGGGAUUUGUUUUGCUCAGAUGAGUCAACAAGGUGGCCAACCACAGCCGCGCACGAAGAGUCGGUCGGAGCCGGUGCUGAGCGGCGGACGUCGAACAACACCAAUGGAUGUGGGUGCUCAACAUCAGCAGUGACCUCUCUCAGGGAAACCUACGACACGUCCAACAAAUCGAAGAAUAGUCAGCGUACUCUAUUCGCGUGUCUCCGGAUCGAAUGAAACAGAAUAACACAAUGGCGAACGUACCUGUCGACUGGAUCUAGCAGAAAUUCUAGCCCGUUGUGCCGUAGUUCUACAGGCAUAUCCGUACUCCUCUUCGUCGCCAUUGUUUCGCCUUCCACUGGUUAACUGCGGACAGUGGGGCAAAGGGGAAAAGUGCUCAACGCAGUACAUGGGGGACUUCCGUACAUGGGUACCGUGAUAUUUUUAGGCUGUCCCACAAUUCAUCUACCUGCUAGCAUUUACUGACCCCUUGAGGGCGCGCUUA